UACGUAGGGCGCAAGCGUUAUCCGGAAUUACUGGGCGUAAAGGGCGCGUAGGCGGUGUGUCAAGUCAGGCGUGAAAGCCCCGGGCUCAACCUGGGAACCGCUGCUUGAGACUGGCACGCUCGAGUUCGGGAGAGGAUGGUGGAAUUCCCAGUGUAGAGGUGAAAUUCGUAGAUAUUGGGAAGAACACCGAUGGCGAAGGCAGCCAUCUGGACCGACACUGACGCUGAGGCGCGAAAGCGUGGGGAGCAAACAGGG
rnacentral:rRNA from 1 species